rnacentral:rRNA from 1 species
UACGGAGGGUGCAAGCGUUAAUCGGAAUUACUGGGCGUAAAGGGUGCGUAGGUGGUUUGAUAAGUUAUCUGUGAAAUACCUGGGCUCAACCUAGGGAUGUCAGCUAAGACUGUUGGACUCGAGUAUAGGAGAGGGUAGUGGAAUUUCCGGUGUAGCGGUGAAAUGCGUAGAGAUCGGAAGGAACACCAGUGGCGAAGGCGGCUACCUGGCCUAAUACUGACACUGAGGCACGAAAGCGUGGGUAGCAAACAGG